ACCACAGACACAGAUACAUUAGAGACAGAGAGAACUGAGAGAAGGAAAGAAAGAGAGGAAAACAUUUUGUCAUCUUCAAAUUUUUAUAUUAUUUGUUUUAUUCAGCCAUAAUUACUAAAUAGUCUUACAGCAUUGGAACUGUGGACCAUACCUGUCUUAUUAAAAAAUGGGCAAAAUGUCUUUCGAGGUCCAUCCACCCACCAAAUCUGACAAGCCUUGUUGAGGCUGUCUGGUUCAUCAGAAGCAAGCAAGACGGACAUAUUUUCCAGAAUACACGUGCAGAAUUUCUUUACAAGACGUUUGCACAGUACUGUACAAUAGGGUCUGAAACUAAUGUCUGGCCCACCACCUGCCAGUUGCAAGUAAAAUGUUGGCAAAGGUAUCUUGAUGUAUUCAGUGAAGGUGGGUUUAUGAGUGUUUGAAGAGGAGACAAUGAACUGACUGCCAAAAUCAUCUUCCCUCAGCUGUACUAUCAAUGACAUCCACAUCUGCAGAACAGUUAUAUGCACAGACACACUUGAGUCAUUUGAUGGACGUUUGCCUCUUUUCCUACUAAUUAUUCAUUUUCAAAGCGGUGGCUCAUCUAUACGAGCAGGUGGGGCAGAGCUCCACCACAUAUAUCAGCCAUUCAACAAAUGUUAAUCUUCAUAAAGUCCUCAUCAAUAAAUUCACAGAUUUUAAAUGCUGUUGAAAUACUAAUUACCUCUUUUGAGUGACCAACAAAGGUUAAAAGUUUUUUGCUAAUUGACAGAUAUAAGCCGAUGUUCUGUUGAUUUGCUCACCUUUGUAAAUGAUGAACUGCCCCAUUUAGCUGGAGUUAUUAUUGCACCUAGUGGUUAACAAUGGGAACUGCAGCAAGUGUUAAUAGAGGCCCAUUGUGCCAGGAGUUGCACCGCCCCAUUCUCAAUCUACGAUCAGUCUUGGUGCGCUCAGGACAUUUGAUGACAGGAAUACCAGGGUCACAUUUUUUAUUCAAAAUUGGGAUUAUUUUAGAAUACUCUGCAGCUGCCAAGAUCUUGUUUUAUAGCAAAUAAUCAUUAAUAGAACUAAUACAUUUGUGAAACAUUAAAACUAAAACAUUAUCCAUUUCUGUUGUAAGAUAUAUUGAAAAGAUUGGGAGAGGGAAAGGGGGUUAUGGCAUGGAUAAUGUUUAUUCAGCAGAAAUGUGUGUGCACCUCAGUGAACUUGUUUCCCAUGCAAAGUCUAAAAAGAAAAGAAAGAAAAAUGUCUCGCAUUUCCUGUAAAUUUUGCCCAAACUUGGCAACACUGAUUAAUGAUAUUCCCUCUUAUGUGUUCAUGUCAACACACUGUGACAAUAGUGAUGGGAACACACUUGCUCUAUCAAACACAACUGAACAAAGGUACAUUGAAAACUGAUCAAAACAAGCUGAUAGUCCGGAUACUGUAUGGCUGUACUGUAUGUUGUUGACUGUCAAACGCCUAUUACAGGGUUACUCUAAAAAUUUGCUAGAUAGUAGCCUAUAGCAUAAUUAAGUUUUACUGCCUCUUAAUUUUGUUUGGGGCUACAUCCUUAUUAAGGUCAUCCUACCCCACCAAAAUGUAAGGUCAUGAGCCAGUGCUGAUUAAUAGUAUUAAUUCAUAUAGCUGACACUACACAAUAAAGAACAUCUAUUAUAACACUGGAAUUUUGCUGUCAAAUUUUUUAAAUGUUUCUUGUGUAGCUGUAACACUAAGUUACCUCUCUUGUGUGG